rnacentral:tRNA from 1 species
GCCGGGCUAGCUCAAUCGGUAGAGCGUGCGGCUCUUAAAUGAGACCCACCGCAAGGCUGCGGGUUCGACCCCCGCGUUCGGCU